rnacentral:rRNA from 1 species
GACGAACGCUGGCGGCGUGCUUAACACAUGCAAGUCGAACGGAAAGGCCCUGCUUUUGUGGGGUGCUCGAGUGGCGAACGGGUGAGUAACACGUGAGUAACCUGCCCUUUACUUUGGGAUAACUUCAGGAAACUGGGGCUAAUACCGGAUAGGAGCUCCUGCUUCAUGGUGUGGGUUGGAAAGUUUCGGCGGUUGGGGAUGGACUCGCGGCUUAUCAGCUUGUUGGUGGGGUAGUGGCUUACCAAGGCUUUGACGGGUAGCCGGCCUGAGAGGGUGACCGGCCCCAUUGGGACUGAGAUACGGCCCAGACUCCUACGGGAGGCAGCAGUGGGGAAUAUUGCACAAUGGGCGGAAGCCUGAUGCAGCAACGCCGCGUGCGGGAUGACGGCAUUCGGGUUGUAAACCGCUUUCGCCUGUGACGAAGCGUGAGUGACGGUAAUGGGUAAAGAAGCACCGGCUAACUACGUG